AAGGGCCUGCCUGAAAUACGGAUCCACGCGGAUCAAAUGCGGAUCAGGCUGAAAUGCGGAUCAACGCGGAACGCUCGCGGAUCUGUAUUGAAGUACGGAACAACACGGAAACUAUACGGAUCUUUCUGCAAGAAUGAUAGCUAUGCAUCAGGAGAGAAAUUUAUCAGCUCUGUUUGAGUCUUUGAUAGGAACUUUAUCAUCCUUGCAGUUUCAGUACAUGCAGUUGAGAUCUACAGAUAAGCUGAUAUCCUCUUGAGCUAUUCUCUUCAACUUUUGUAAAGAUGCAACUAUUGCCUGUGAUAAUGAGAAAACAGACUACUACUAGAUCUAACUACUGAGCAGUCAACACACUCAACAUUAGCUCAGUGUGCCUUCAUGCAGUCAAAAGACAAGUCAAGUUAUUUUAAAAUGCUAUCAUGGCUGUACCCCCCAAGUUCAACAUAGAUGGCAAAGUGGACCAUUGUCUGGGAAUUCCAGUCUUUGUUUUUUUUACUUUAUCACUGUUAUUUUCUAAUUAUUAUUAUUCAUUCUGCAUGACUUAUAGAAUUAUUACAUUUUUAAUCUUUAUUAUCAUUAUUCAGCUAACUACUAUUAUUAUUUAUUCAUUCCAUCAAUCAUUCACAGUCGUAGUCUCUUAAAAUUUUACUAUUAGCUAUUGUUACUCAUUCAUCAUUUUUGUUUAUUGAUUUAAUCUCAUUGUAUUUCCCAAUUUCAGUGUACUAUGUGCUUUGGUUUUAUAAUUGCAAAAUCUAA
rnacentral:lncRNA from 1 species